rnacentral:tRNA from 1 species
AUCUUAAUAGCUUAUUAGAGCGUAAUAUUGAAGAUAUUAAGGAGGCUUUGGCCUUAAGAUA